AAACCAAGCGCCGAGUGUGAUCCGACCUUGCAAAAUCCACUCGAGCCGAAUACAAAGUCCCAGAUCUAGCUACUGUUAUAAUGAUCCUUUUAUUAUAUACCUUUACCAUUUUGAUUCUUGUUUUGUUCUUGAACGAAAUCUUCAAUGUUUAUCGAUAUUAAAUGGAACUUAGUGAAGUUUUUAUGUGCACUUUUUAUAGAAAUGUGUCGGGUCAUGCAUAUUUAUGAAAAUAGUCUGGUAGCAUACAAUACGGAAGGUACAAUACAGAAUUUAAAAGGUACAAUAUGGAAUUUUUGUCUGUUUGUUCAUAUUUAAUUGUGAAAUAUUAGCCGAUUUUUUUACAAAAUUUAUAUAGGUAUAUAAUAAAAGAAAAUUAACUCAGUCAUGUAUACUUUAUGAUUAGAUAAUCUUGAUCACUUGGCAUAUAUAUAUAUAAGCAAUAAACUUAAUACUUUGAUAAGCAUUCAACUAGUUGACAUGUUGUAUUUACAAACAAUUCGUAUGAGAAUAGUCACUUAAAAUAAAAAAGUCAUUUCAGUAUUUAAACUGAGAACUGCUCAGAUGACAUUGAAUUAGGAACACUUACUGUGGUGACAAAUAGGCAGAUGUACAUGGUAAGAGUUUGUUUCCAGUAGUAACAUUUUCUAUAACCAUAACGGAUGCUUAAGGGGACUUUUAGAUCCUGCUAAGAAUUCGAGGGAUACCAGUAGAUGCUAAGUGCUCGAGCAUAGCAACUGAAGAAUAAGGUGUAUUACGUAUAAAAGUAUGGGAUAUAUUUUGAAGUUUCACCGAAAUCGUUAUCAAAAGCUUUCUACAAGCAUGCCAGUGGAAGUAGGACAAAGAUUAAUAUCUGGAAAUAGAUUUUAUUUUAAAAUUUCAACCAAUGUUUAUUUUUAUUAGGAGGCUUGUGGUGCAGCUGAUACAGCAGACAUAGAGUUUAUAGACAUAUCAGCUCCUCAGAGAAGACAGUUUAGUUUGCGUAGAGUGUCUCCUUCAGCCACAGUAAUAUACAGUGAAUCAGCUGAUAUGUCGGGAAGUAUUAACAACCACUCUAUAGAACCUGAUGCCGUCACAGUAGAAGAUCAGUCUUCCAACCAGACAAAUGAUGCUAUGUCAGCGGAAGAGUAUUUCGGACAAGAUGACAUCCAGUUGGCCAUUGAAGAAAGUUUGUUAAGUAUUUGUAAUAGCAAUAAAGAAGAGUAAGACAGCUCACUGUUGAAGAAAUGGGUUGACAAAGCACUACAACCCUCAGAGCCACAAACAAUAGUUGUUCAGUGGGAGAGGCUGUUACAAACGACGUUAAGAGUUGUUGGUAAAUCGACUUUCAACUGGUCACAGCCGCUUCGAAUAGUAUUCUCUGGUGAAGAUGGAGAUGACCAAGGAGGUCCUAAGUGAGAAUAUCUCUGGUUGCUGAGCAAAGCUGUUGCUGAGGCUUCCUUGUGUGGCCCUGAGGGAAACAUGAUCUUCGUCCAUGAUGGUGAAAAGCUUGAGCGCAUGACAUAUGAAAUAUAUGGUAAAUUGACAGCAUACAAUGUCUUUAAUGGUGGACCAGGCCUACCGAUGAUCAACACCUUCCUGUACUCCUUCAUGACUGAUCAGGGCAUAAAACCCCAUGUAGACAUUCUUACGCUUUCCCAGACUGAGGAAAUUUCUCGCAUGAAGGAGAUUCCAUGCUGAAAUUAACCAACUUGUUAAUGGACUGGAUAAAGUGGGUUCGUUGCACAAAGAGAUCCUCCAUGCAUUUGAAGCAUUUUCUAGUCUGUUUGUUCACCAAGCUGUUCAUCUAAAGUUUGACACAUUCAGAUUAUUGUAUGAAGUGAACUUCAGUCCAGAGGGUUCCAAUAACCAAAAGUUGGCGAAGGAUACAGUAUACUGCUUGGAGGCAUUCUUGAUUGAAUGUGAUGGUAAAGAAAGUGACAUAGCCUUGGCAGAUGUACUGAUGUUUUGGACAGGAGCAAGUUCUGUGCAUGCCCCCCACCCCCAAUGGGGUUUGACAAAAAACUUGAAGUGGACUUUGUUACGUCUGACAGAAAACUGCCUGUAGCCCAUACCUGUGGCAUGGUUUUAGAACUUGUGCGUGGGUUAGCUGAUCCAGAUUUAUUCAAGGAGGAUAUGGUGAAACCUAUUAAGUGGAGUGGAGGAUUCCACUUAUGUUAAAUGCAUCAGUGUACAAUCAGUUCUGAAGCCAUCUAUUAGUUUACAAUCAAACGGUUGCAAUACUUGAACUCAAGAUUCUACCAACUGCUCUUGUUUCAGGCCAGUAUGCAACAUUUAAAGGUUUAGGUCAUCGGAUCACCACAAUACUUAAGUAAAGGAAUGGCACAUAGCACAUCAUAAAGCAUGUUAUAAUCCUCAUUAUAGUUAUGAAUGAACAUUCUUCUGUCGUUUCAUGCCGUAUGCUGUAAAUCUUACUAUUUUGUUUGCUUUUGUUUUAGAUAGGCUCACACACACACUUAGUUAAAUACCUUUAUGUUCUGUAGUGCAUGCAAUUGAAAACUUUACACUAUCCCAUACUGUAGGUAGAAUUGCAUACUUCAUGGAAAUUUUAGUUAUUAUGUGGCAUGAAAAUUGAGUUUGUUGCUACAUAUCACUAACACUUGGGAACCUUUUUCAAAGUCAAGGUUAAAGCUUUUGAGGCAGGAUAGCAUAUGUCAUCAUACCCCAACAAACAAAGUUUGAGGAUAGGGUACAUGUAUAUAGGAGUUGCCUCAAUUGUUGAUCAGUCUGUUGGUCAGUUAGCAAGAAUUAUGUUGAGUGAACUAUACUGGAUAUUCCAUAAGAUAUUGACUUAAAACUUCGUAUACAGGAUCAUAAUUGAGUGGAGAUGUGCAUGAUACAAUUUGGUGUGAUUCAGCUUAUUCCUGGUAUAGUUGCCCUUGGAUUUAAUUAAAAUAACUAUAGAGCAAUUAUAUAAAUCUUGUGAACUUAGCUGAAAUCAGUAUAUUAGCAUAAGCCAUAUUGUGGGACAAACCACUUUUACUUUUUUUCAGAAUUUUGACUUUUAAACUCUGUAUAUUUGAUCACCAUCAAGUGUAUAUCUUCCUGCACAUGUUUGUUGCGGCUUUGUUUUUGGGGGCAAUGACCCCAGAGUUAACAAACCGUCUUUCAACUUUCUUGUCGAGCUUAUGACCAACCUGACAACACAGAAAACAAGUUCCAAAGUAUUUACCAAACAUAACUUUCAUAUUGCAUUUUGCAAUUAUAUUUUGAUCCAGACAUGAUUAAAUAGAUCUACACAUUUUAUAUUAACAACAGUAUGUGAAGAAAACUAAACUGCAUUAUAAAUAUAAAUUAUAAUAACUCUUCUUAUGCGUAGGAAUAAUAAAGACGCUUGAUUUGAUCACGUGAUCGAUUCUAAAACCGACACUUGUUUUGAUCAUGUGACCUAUUCUGAAAUCCAAUAACUAGUUUAAAAAAAAAUGUGUUCAUGAUUCUGCGUGAAAAUAGCAACUACUAUGACAUUGCAACGCCACUGAUAAGCCGGUAGAUUAUUGAUUUUUUUUCAUCGCCGUGCCUCGACACUGUUGUGGAUGUGUAUUGAGAAACUUUAUCAGUUUGCGGCGGUCAGUACCGUUUAUCAGUAGGCGAAUCUAUAAAUAUGCGGCAACACCCUAUAGAUCCCGAUUCGCAAUCUGUUAAAAUAUCUCUUCUGUGCAGGUGUUUUUUCUAAAAUAUUAUUUCAGAAAAUACAGUGCUGAAAUGAAAUACUUUUCGCAUGUCUAAGAAAAUAUUUUCAAGAGAUAUGUUAUUUAUAAAAAUUAAUA